rnacentral:rRNA from 1 species
UACGUAGGCAGCGAGCGUUGUUCGGAGUUACUGGGCGUAAAGAGUGCGUAGGCGGUUUGCUAAGUUUGGUGUGAAAUCUCCCGGCUUAACUGGGAGGGUGCGCCGAAGACUGGAAGGCUUGAGUAUGGGAGAGGUAAGCGGAAUUCCUGGUGUAGCGGUGAAAUGCGUAGAUAUCAGGAGGAACACCUGCGGUGUAGACGGCUUACUGGACCAUCACUGACGCUGAGGCACGAAAGCGUGGGUAGCAAACAGG